rnacentral:rRNA from 1 species
AUUGAACGCUGGCGGCAGGCCUAACACAUGCAAGUCGAGCGAGCGGCGGACGGGUGAGUAAUGUAUGGGGACUGCCCGAUAGAGGGGGAUAACUACUGGAAACGGUAGCUAAUACCGCAUCCUAUCGGCUCACCCAUAUGGGAUUAGCUAGUAGGUGAGGUAAUGGCUCACCUAGGCGACGCUCCCUAGCUGGUCUGAGAGGAGGACACGCCACACAUGGACUGAGACACGGCCCAGACCACUACGGAGGCAGCAGUGGGGAAUUUUGGACAAUGGUGGAAACCCUGAUCCAGCCAUCCCGCGUGUAUGAUGAAGGCCUUCGGGUUGUAAAGUACUUUUGGCAGAGAAGCGGUAUCUGCAGAAUAAGCACCGGCUAACUACGUGCCAGCAGCGCGGUAAUUC